rnacentral:misc_RNA from 1 species
UUAACUAUUAUAUAGUACUCAGACGACACUAAUAUUCAGAGUUUUGGGAUCCUUUGGCGGGCACUCAUCAGCCGGAGUCAGUAGCCGAAGCGGCCCGCCAAAGCAACAAAGGUAUAGUAUUCAAGGGUGGGAGAUCUACCCGUGAGGGCAUGAACUCUGUAAUGAUCCUUCCGCAGGUUCACCUACGGAAA